AUUGAACGCUGGCGGCAUGCCUUACACAUGCAAGUCGAACGGUAACAGGUCUUCGGAUGCUGACGAGUGGCGAACGGGUGAGUAAUACAUCGGAACGUGCCUAGUAGUGGGGGAUAACUACUCGAAAGAGUGGUUAAUACCGCAUGAGAUCUACGGAUGAAAGCAGGGGAUCGCAAGACCUUGUGCUACUAGAGCGGCCGAUGGCAGAUUAGGUAGUUGGUGGGAUAAAAGCUUACCAAGCCGACGAUCUGUAGCUGGCCUGAGAGGACGAUCGGCCACACUGGGACUGAGACACGGACCAGACUCCUACGGGAGGCAGCAGUGGGGAAUUUUGGAUAAUGGGCGAAAGCCUGAUCCAGCAAUGCCGCGUGCAGGAUGAAGGCCUUCGGGUUGUAAACUGCUUUUGUACGGAACGAAAAGCCCCGGGUUAAUACCCUGGGGUCAUGACGGUACCGUAAGAAUAAGCACCGGCUAACUACGUGCCAGCCGCCGCAGUAACAC
rnacentral:rRNA from 1 species